rnacentral:ncRNA from 1 species
GUUGCGGUGUCGGGGAUUAAAAGGGAACCCUGUGAAAGUCGGGGACUAUGCCCGUAGCUGUAAGUUCCGUCAUGAUUUUGCGCGAUUGUCGUGUUGCCACUGCUCUUUCGGGUGGGAAGGCUGCGCAAAAGGAACAAGUCAGAAGACCUGCCUUUGCCGU